GGCACUUCCAGGGAUCCUUCUCUGAGCAGCUGUGCCAGGGCUGGGCAGCCCUUCCGUGGUGGGAUUUUCCCAAUAUCCACCCUGAACCAAGCUGAGGCUGUUCUCCCUUGUCCUGUCCCUGUUCCCUGGGAGCAGAGCCCAACCUUUCCUGGCUGCUCCUGCAGUUCUUGUGUCUCCCUGGGUCUCCAGUUCUCCCCACCGCUCCUUCCUGGAUCUCUCUUCUUGCUUCUUCUCCUGGGGCUUCCAUCUUUCCUUGCAUGGCGUGCCCCAAACUGAACCAGCUCCUGUAAAUGCUCAGCCAGACCUUGUGCUACCAAACAUCUCCCAGGUCUUUACCAAACAUCUCUCAGGUGCUUUUCACUGAUUUUUACCAAACAUUUCUCAGGUGUUUUUCACUGGUUCUACCAAACAUCUCUCAGGUGCCUUUCACUGGUUUUUACAAACAUCUCUCAGGUGCUUGUCACUGAUUUUUACCAAACAUCUCUCAGGUGCUUUUCACUGGUUUUUACCAAACAUCUCUCAGGUUUUUACAAACAUCUCUGAGGUGCUUUUCACUGUUUUUUACCAAACAUCUCUCAGGUUUUACCAAACAUUUCUCAGGUGCUUUUCACUGGUUCUACCAAACAUCUCUGAGGUGCUUUUCACUGAUUUCUACCAAACAUCUCUCAGGUGCUUUUCACUGGUUCUACCAAACAUCUCUCAGGUUUCAACCAAACAUCUCUCAGGUGCUUUUCACUGUUUUUUACCAAACAUCUCCCAGGUCUUUACCAAACAUCUCCCAGGUGCUUUUCACUGAUUUUUACCAAACAUUUCUCAGGUUUUUACCAAACAUCUCCCAGGUGUUUUUCACUGGUUCUACCAAACAUCUCUCAGGUGCCUUUCACUGGUUUUUACAAACGUCUCUGAGGUGCUUUUCACUGAUUUUUACCAAACAUCUCUCAGGUUUUUACCAAACAUUUCUCAGGUGCUUUUCACUGGUUCUACCAAACAUCUCUGAGGUGCUUUUCACUGAUUUCUACCAAACAUCUCUCAGGUUUUUACAAACAUCUCUGAGGUGCUUUUCACUGGUUUUUACAAACAUUUCUCAGGUGCUUUUCACUGGUUCUACCAAACAUCUCUCAGGUUUUUACCAAACAUCUCUCAGGUGCUUUUCACUGAUUUUUACCAAACAUUUCUCAGGUUUUUACCAAACAUCUCCCAGGUGCUUUUCACUGGUUUUUACCAAACAUCUCUCAGGUUUGUACCAAACAUCUCUCAGGUUUUUACAAACAUCUCUCAGGUGCUUGUCACUGAUUUUUACCAAACAUCUCUCAGGUUUUUACCAAACAUCUCUCAGGUGCUUUUCACUGGUUUUUACAAACAUCUCUCAGGUGCUUUUCACUGGUUUUUACAAACAUCUCUCAGGUGCUUGUCACUGAUUUCUACCAAACAUCUCUCAGGUUUUUACAAACAUCUCUCAGGUGCUUUUCACUGUUUUUUACCAAACAUCUCUCAGGUUUUUACCAAACAUCUCCCAGGUGCUUUUCACUGGUUUUACCAAACAUCUCUCAGGUUUUUACAAACGUCUCUGAGGUGCUUUUCACUGGUUUUUACAAACAUCUCUCAGGUGCUUGUCACUGAUUUUUACCAAACAUCUCUCUGGUUUUUACCAAACAUCUCUCAGGUGCUUUUCACUGGUUUUUACAAACGUCUCUCAGGUGCUUUUCACUGGUUUUCUGAGCAGCCCAGGAUGAGGUUCUGAGAGUUGGGAGCAGUCUGGGUGUGCUGUUUAAUGUUCCCAUUUCUGCUGUCACCGCUCUCUCUCUCGGUGGCAGCACAGCACCUCAUUAUUGUGGUGGGCAUCUGCUGGCCCUUGGCCCCUCUGAAGGCUGGGGGUUUUAAAAGGUUUAAAAACAAGCCAGUGAUCCUGUUGAAUUCCCAGCCUCCUUCCCUGGGUCCAGACCAACGCUCCCUUGCUCAUUCUCCUCCUGCUGAUGGAGCCUUUUCUUCUUCUCCUUAAUGAUUCCUCCCCAUUUCCAUCUCAAUUUGGCCUUUCUGAUGUCUCCCCACAUGCUUGUGCUCCCCUCCUAACUGUCCUUAGUAAUUUGUCCUAGUUCCCACUUCCCAUAAACCUUUUUUCAGUGCCUGAGGUCAGUGAGGAGCUUGUGAUGCAGCCAGCCUGGUUCCUGCUACGUUUCCUAUUGGGAUGGCUCCUGAGUGUGCUGCUUGCAGCGUUCCUUUGAAGUCACGCCAGUUUCCUUAACUCCUUUCACUUUUAAACCUUCCUCCCACCAGAUCCUGCUUCUGGCUUCUCCAAACCUCUCGGCGUCCCUCGUCUUUAUUUUUCCCUUUUCUCCCACAUCCCUGCAUGAGGGGUGUGAGCUUGGCUGCUCCACGCUCAGCCUUGGCCAGCUUUCCUCCCGCUUUUCUGUUCCAAACCAGUCUCUGCUGCUGCCUCUGUCCCUGUCCCAGUGCCCCCAGUUUGCCCAGUGGUGGCAGUGACGAGGAGGAGCCGUCCCAGCUCCUCGUUCCCACACUGGGCAUUUUCCAGUCCACCAAGUCAAGAGGAUUUUGCUUUUUUUCCUCCCUUUCAACCCAACGCCGAGUCAGUUUAAUUCUGGAAUCGCUCCCUGUUCCAGGCAAUGGGGUAAUUGGUAUUUCCCAGCACUAACCACUGGGAUCCUGCUGGCUCCACAAAUACCAGUCUGGGGCUCCUCCCGGCCAGGAGAGAGCCCAGCGCUGGUGGGAACACCGGGAUGUCACCAGAGGUGCUCCCACAGUGACCUGCAGGACACGUCCCCUCCCAAACCGCACUGAAGCAUCCAGCACUCACCACACAGCACUCCCAGGGAUGCUCCCAGGGAUGGUCCAGGGUUUGGGAAUGGUUCCUCAAGGCUGAGCCUCCUUGCCCUGGGAGCUGGAGGUGGGACAGCAGGGGUGGGAUCCAUCCAGGAUGGAGCCGUGCAUGAACGGAGCCAGGCUGUGCCGUGCUGGAGGAUGGGACAGAAGCCCCAAGCAAGGGAAGGGACACAGCCUGCCUCAUCCUCCAAAUAUUCCUCCGAGGGAAAGGCUGUGGGGCCAGCCCUCAGGCAAGGAAGUGUCCCCAGAGGUGUCCAGAAGGGGACAAGGGACAGACAUGGCACUGCCAGCUCCUGGCACUCAGGGAGGGACAAACCAACCUGGAAUCCCAAAGGAGCAGCAGCGAAGGUUCUGAGCAGAGUUUGGGGUGUGUGGGGGCUGACAGGAACCCCUGAGCUGCCUCCACCUCCUUCUCCAGCCCUUCCUGCUCCUGAGCAGCGCUCGGCCGCUGGAUCGCGACACCGGGCCGGUGAAUCAAGGUUUGCUUGGAGAGUUGGGACUUCUAAACGUGGAAUCAGGACUCAGCCAUGGAUCAGGACCCUCAGCUGCUGCAUGUGGGCUCAGAGCAUGAAUGUGGGCUCAGAGCAUGAAUGUGGGCUCCUGGCUGAUGAAUUUGGGCUCCUGGCUGAUGAAUGUGGGCUCCUGGCUGAUGAACAUGGGCUCCUGGCUGAUGAAGGUGGGCUCCUGGCUGAUGAAUGUGGGCUCCUGGCUGAUGAAUGUGGGCUCCUGGCUGAUGAAGGUGGGCCCCUGGCUGAUGAAGGUGGGCUCUUGCUCGGUGCAUGGGGACCCUGGGCUGGUGAAUUUGGCCUCGUUUGGUGAAUCAGGACUCACCCAA